rnacentral:lncRNA from 12 species
GUGCUUCUAAAAUCUGUCUGAGAUUACAUAGGAUAAAUAUCCCCCCCAAAAAUACCUCUAUUCCCUGGAUAAAGGUUUGGGUUUGGUACACUAUGACCAAUGAGGGAUAAGUUGAUUUCAUGUGACUUUAUUUUUCUUAAAGAUUAUAUUUAUUUGUUACAGAGAGAGAGAGAGCACAAGGAGGGGGAGCAUCAGAGGGAGUGGGAGAAGCAAGCUCCACCCUGAGCAAGGAGCUUGAUGCAAGGCUCGAUCCCAGGACUCUGGGAUCAUGACCUGAGCCAAAAGCAGAUGCUUAACUGCCUAAGCCACCCAGGUGUCCCUUCAUGUGACUUAAAAAAAAAAAGUCUAGACUGACUAGAUGAAUUUCCAGGGAAUUAUGCUGAGUGAAAAAAGCCAGUCCAAAAUGUUAUAUAGUGUGUGAUUCCAUUUAUGUAACUUUCUUGAAAUGGCAAAAUUACAGACAUAGAGAACAGAAUAAUGAUUACUAUAGAGGACAGAAUAGGGAGGUAGGUGUGGCUUUAAAAAGCAGCAGGAGGGACCCCGUUGGAUGGAAUGUUCUGUUCCUUGACUGUAUCACUGUGAACAUCUGGCUGUAACAUUAUACUGGGGUUUUGCACGUUUCCAUUUGGGGAAACUGGGUAGCUCUGUAUUAUUCUCACAAUAAAAUGUGUAUCUACUGUUAUCUCAAAAUAAAAAGUUUAAUGAGAAAUGAAUCUAGCUUGAUUCCUAUUCUGGAAAUUUUUGGAAAGAAAGAUGGUUCGCAUCUCUACUAAGUCUUCCUGAAGAUUGUCAGGGGUCUACCGUCAUGAAGUCAACGUCCAAAUGAAAGAAGACGAAGCCAUCGGCAAUGAUGGGGCUGCUCCUUCCAGUCAAAGCUUGGAAACUCUCAGAGCUAUUCCCAUGUGGGCUUCACAGCUGCCAGGUGGGGCGGCAGGUGGCCGGAGGGGAGGUUGGGAGGGGCUUUAUCACCCUGAUUGUAUGCACCCUGAGACACACAGCUGAGAGCCUGCAGGGAGCCCCGAGGGGAAGGAGCCGGAGUGGAGGGAAGAUCAGAACCCGAGGGGUUGGUGAUUCUUGGUGAUUUGCAGAGAGGAGGUUUCUUUUGAGAAGUGUGGAGAGGUCAGCAAGCCUUGGCUUCCACCCUGUGGGGUCCGCAGCCUGCAGGCCCUGAGCACCUGCCCUGGACGAACAGGUGAAGGGAAGUCCCCCAAGACUCCCCCCAGCGGCCCUCGAGGCUCUCCGGCAUCCCAGAGCCUUCCCCUUGGGCACCCCUCAUGUGACCCCCACCCCACCCCACCCCGUGAAACUUACCAAAAUCCCGCAUUUUUGUUUGGAUUGACCAACCAGGCCUUAGCCUGGGGCCACCAAAGGCACCCCGCACCCCUGAACAUGGGCAAGUCCUAGGGGUCCUCCCACUCA